UCUUUUAUCAGGGAGGAACAAAAUGACGUGCACCUGAUGAAUAAGCAUCGGCUAACUCUGUGCCAGCAGCCGCGGUAAGACAGAGGAUGCAAGUGUUAUCCGGAAUUACUGGGCGUAAAGCGUCUGUAGGUUGUUGAACAAGUCAACUGUUAAAUCUUGAAGCUCAACUUCAAAAUCGCAGUCGAAACUGUUUGACUAGAGUAUAGUAGAGGUAAAGGGAAUUUCCAGUGGAGCGGUGAAAUGCGUAGAUAUUGGAAAGAACACCGAUGGCGAAAGCACUUUACUGGGCUAUUACUGACACUCAGAGACGACAGCUAGGGUAGCAAAUGGGAUUAGAUACCCCAGUAGUCCUAGCCGUAAACUAUGGAUACUAGAUGUUGAACAGAUCGACCUGUGCAGUAUUAAAGCUAACGCGUUAAGUAUCCCGCCUGGGAAGUAUGCUCGCAAGAGUGAAACUCAAAGGAAUUGACGGG
rnacentral:rRNA from 1 species